CCCUUAGAUGUUCUGGGCCGCACGCGCGCUACACUGACGGAGGCAGCGAGCAUGUCCUUCGCCGAGAGGUGUGGGGAAUCUUGUGAGUCUCCGUCGUGCUGGGGAUAGAUGGUUGCAAUUGUCGAUCUUGAACGAGGAAUUCCUAGUAAGCGCGAGUCAUCAGCUCGCGCUGAUUACGUCCCUGCCCUUUGUACACACCGCCCGUCGCUCCUACCGAUUGAAUGCUCAGGUGAGCCAUUCGGACUUUCAUCAUGCUGGUUUCCAGUUUUGAUGAAGGAAAGUCUUGCGAACCUUAUCAUUUAGAGGAAGGAGAAGUCGUAACA
rnacentral:rRNA from 1 species